AAAAAAAAUUUAAAUGCUUAUAAUUUCACCAUCCAGAAAUGUUCGCUGUUGAAAUGUGGUAAUUUCCUUGCUGUACUGUUUUCUAUGCAUAUUAACUGUGGCAGAUGGAAUGCUGCAUGUUCAGCAAAUCUUGCUUCCUGUCUCCUCUGACAUAUGCUAGACUACAUUUCCCAGCCUCCCCUGCAGGAUGGGAGGGUCCCAGGGAGACACUCCAAGACCCUAGGGAGCAGCCAAGCCACCAGUUGGAAGAAACCUGGAUUCCCGAGUGACUCAGUGGAGUAAUGAACCCCCUUCCAUCCUCUGCCAACCCACAUUUGAUAGUGUCUUGAGGGAGAAAUAAACUUUUAUUGUGUUAA